rnacentral:lncRNA from 1 species
CCCCAUCCAGGCUGCUCCACUGCCCAGGGCCUUCCAGGGGAGCUGCACACCCCACACAGCAAAGGCCUCUCCAGCACAGGCCCUACCAUUUACCCCAUAGGCCAAACCCAAAUUUACAAAAUCUCUGAUCCAGCACAGUCAGUGUCUCACAAAGGGAUUUUCAGUCGCCUUUUAUGAAAAGAAAUUCCUUUCCCAAGUGCACCUAAUAUCCAGUAAAUUCCAGGUGCUUGCAGGGGGGAAACAGGAGGGCUCGUCCCUUGCCGGUGAGUGUCCGCGGCACGGCUGAAGCUGCUUUGGGGAACAGGGAGACAGCGAGACAGCUUCCACCUGCCCAGUGAUUCCGCCCCUGGGUUCUACCCAGGGCAAACGAAAGCAGAGGCUGAGGCAGCAGCAUUCACAGCAACUUCUUUAGCGACUGCCCACCCAGCGCUGGACCCAGACAGCCACCCCUUAGCAGCGGCAGGGAGUUGGGUGCCAGGGAAGGGCAGGGCCUGGGGUGGGAGGGGAGGAGGGGAGAGGAGGAGAAGGGCCUCCAGGGGUGGCCCAGGGGACGGGGGGCAACGCGUAGAUGAACACGCAGGCCUGGGCCCAGCUCUGACCUCCCCAGCUGCAGGCCUCUCGCAUGCCAUGUCCUCCUCCUCCUCCAAGGCAGGCGCCCGACAGCCCCGUGUGCAGGAGACGCACAGCACUCACCGACCCCAGGCGUGACUACGUUUGAGGCAACCAUGAAGGCUUCAGACAUUCAAACUUCUUAAUAGACCAGGCGUGGUGGCUCACGCCUGGAAUCCCAGCACUUUGGGAGGCUGAGGUGGGCGGAUCACUUGAGCCCAGGAGUUUGAGACCAGCCUGGGCAACAUAGGGAGACCCCCGUCUCUACAAAAAAUACAAAAAUUAGCCAGGUGUGGUGGCGCGUGCCUGUAAUCCCAGCUGCUCAGGAGGCUGAGGUGGGAGGAUCACCUGAACCUGGGAGGCGGAGGCUGCAGUGAGCCGAGAUCACACCACUGCACUCCAGCCUGGGCAACAGAGCAAGACCCCAUCUUAAAAAAAUUUAGUAACAAUCCUGAUUUUAAAGCUGUGUAUACCUUUUGGGAGAAAUCUGGAAAAGACUCAAAAGUAUAAAAAGUAAAAAAACAAAAAACAAAAAAAAACUACCUAAAAUUUCCCACCAAGGGCUAACACUGUUGCUUUUUUUUUUUUUUUUUUUUUGAGAUGGAGUCUCACCCUGUUGCCCAGGCUGGAGUGCAGUGGUCUGAUCUCAGCUCACUGCAAUCUCUGCCUCCCGGGUUCAAGUGAUUCUCCUGCCUCAGACUCCUGAGUAGCUGGGGUUACAGGUGUCUGCCACCGCACCUGGCUAAUUUUUGUAUUUUUAGUAGAGAUGGGGUUUCACCAUGUUGGCUAGGCUGGUCUCGAACUCCUGACCUCGUGAUCCACCCGCCUUGGCCUCCCAACGUGCUGAGAUUACAGGCGUGAGCUACCGUGCCCGGCCCACUGUUGCUAUUUUAAAGUGUCCCUGUGAAGUCUUGAUGCAUACAUGCACACACAUGCACCCACACACGCCUACACAGCCAUGUGUGCACAUGACACAGGGUCGCAGUCUCACACACCACACUCCUACACAGCCACAUGUGCACAUGACACAGGGUCCCAGUCACACACACGCCACACUCCUACACAGCCACGUGUGCACAUGACACAGGGUCCCAGUCACACACACACCACACUCCUACACAGCCACGUGUACACAUGACACAGGGUCCCAGUCACACACAUGCCACACUCCUACACAGCCACGUGUACACAUGACACAGGGUCCCAGUCACACACAUGCCACACUCCUACACAGCCACGUGUGCACGACACAGGGUCGCAGUCUCACACACCACACACCUACACAGCCAUGUGUGCACAUGACACAGGGUCACAGUCUCACAAGCCACACUCCAAAUGCCACACUCUCACCACACAUCCACGCCGUCAUGCCUUGGAUCAUUAAGGACACUUUGGAACGGAGCUUUGCUAUUCUCUGAAGAUACACAAAAUCCUCCACUGCUCACGUCAUAAUCUAUUUACCAACUGUGGAAAAUUCCGCGGUGCCUGUGGUUUUUAAAGUGAUGCUGAAGCGAGCACCUUUGUGCAUAUGUCUUGAUCCACGCCUGAUUUUAAAAUUUCAGAUAAAAUCCUAGAAGUGAAAUGGCUGGAGAGAGAGUUACAGCAGAGCCAGGUUCUCCGUCCUGCGCGGUUUCUAAGUGAAAUGGCUGGAGAGAGAGUCACAGCAGAGCCAGGGGCUCCAUCCUGCGCGGUUUCUGCAUUUGGUGUUGAGUUGUCCUUUCUGCAUCGGAAUUCUGACUCCUGAAAUCACAUUUCUCACCGUGUCUAGGUCAUACUUUCAAUAAUCUUUCAAUAACCUUUCUGCUGCUUUUUUUUUUGGAGACGGAGUCUUGCUCUGUCGCCCAGGCUGGAGUG